rnacentral:rRNA from 1 species
CGCCAGACUCCUACGGGAGGCAGCAGUGGGGAAUAUUGCACAAUGGGGGAAACCCUGAUGCAGCAACGCCGCGUGGGUGAAGAAGUAUUUCGGUAUGUAAAGCCCUAUCAGCAGGGAAGAGAAUGACGGUACCUGACUAAGAAGCCCCGGCUAACUACGUGCCAGCAGCCGCGGUAAUACGUAGGGGGCAAGCGUUAUCCGGAUUUACUGGGUGUAAAGGGAGCGUAGACGGUUGUGCAAGUCUGAAGUGAAAGCCCGCGGCUCAACUGCGGAACGGCUUUGGAAACUGUGUAACUGGAGUGCUGGAGAGGUAAGCGGAAUUCCUGGUGUAGCGGUGAAAUGCGUAGAGAUCAGGAGGAACACCGGCGGCGAAGGCGGCCUGCUGGACCGUGACUGACGUUGAGGCUCGAGAGCGUGGGGAGCAAACAGGAUUAGAUACCCUCGUAA